UAGCAAACGCACUUAAGCGCCCCGCCUGGGGAGUACGGCCGCAAGGCUAAAACUCAAAAGGAAUUGACGGGGGCCCGCACAAGCGGCGGAGCAUGCGGAUUAAUUCGAGAAACGCGAAGAACCUUACCAAGGCUUGACAUACACCGGAAACGGCCAGAGAUGGUCGCCCCCUUGUGGUCGGUGUACAGGUGGUGCAUGGUGUCGUCAGCUCGUGUCGUGAGAUGUUGGGUUAAGUCCUCGCAACGAGCGCAACCUCGUUUAUGUUGCAAGCGGGUUAUGCCGGGGACUCAUAGGAGACUGCCGGGGUCAACUCGGAGGAAGGUGGGGGAUGACGUCAAAUCGAUCAUGCCCCCUAUGUCGUAUGGGGCGUUCACGCAUCGCUGACAAAGGCCGCGGGAAACAAAAGGGGCAUGGCGAUGACCCGUUAAAGGGAUGGACGCGAAUCCCAUAAAAGCCGGUCGUCAGUAUGCGGAGUGUAGAGGUACGUGCAACAUCGACGCAUCUACUGAAGUCGGAGUCAGCUAGUAAUCAGCAGAGUGCAGCAACAGCGCGGGGAAUACGGUCCCGGGCCCUGU
rnacentral:rRNA from 1 species